rnacentral:rRNA from 1 species
UACGUAGGGGGCUAGCGUUGUCCGGAAUCAUUGGGCGUAAAGAGCGUGUAGGCGGCCCGGUAAGUCCGCUGUGAAAGUCGGGGGCUCAACCCUCGAAUGCCGGUGGAUACUGUCGGGCUAGAGUGCGGAAGAGGCGAGUGGAAUUCCUGGUGUAGCGGUGAAAUGCGCAGAUAUCAGGAGGAACACCUAUUGCGAAGGCAGCUCGCUGGGACGUAACUGACGCUGAGACGCGAAAGCGUGGGGAGCGAACAGG